AAAAAAAAAACAUUUCUGUGCUCCAUUUGAUAGAUAAAUAGAACAAUUAAAAAAAAAAAAUAAAUAAAUAAUCUUCUCAGUGUUGUUUGUGAAAACAAUUUUCUAAAAAAACAAUCUACCACACAAAUUCUUCGGCACGCCACACAAAUUCCACCACCAUUUCCAGCAUCAAAAUACAAAAUGCACAGCCUCAGCCUUGUGCAUUUAGAAAAAAAAACAUAAAAAAAUGACCACCACCAAUUGAUUUGGAAAAUAAAGUGGAGAUCAAUUCCAGACAUCGAUGACUGAGUUUACAGUUCAAAAGGUUCCUCCACAGACUUUGUAGUGUAAGUUAAUAAGAUUCCCUUCUGUGCUUUGUGAAGCUGAUGGUAUUAUUUUUUUUUUCUUAGGUCUGCACCCUCCGACCACUUGUUGAUGUUUUCGCUCUAAUCCUAGACAAAAACAACAUUCAACAAUUCUAUAUAUGGAGUAUAAAAAUGACGUCAGAGACUCCUUGCUCGCCACAGUAUUGGAUGCAGUUCGUUCGAGUGACAAUCAAGAUGUGCACGUUCGUAUUACAAACAGAUUGCGAGGCAUGCAUUUUGUUUCCCUCAACAGUUGUGUGGAUAGAUAUAAGAUUUUAGAGAAAUUCAAAGCCAACAUUUCUCAUAGUGGUCUCAAGUAAAGUGUCACACAAGACGUAUGUUUUGAUAUUAUAUAAUUCGACUGAAUAAAUCUAAAUCUCUAACCAAAGUUUCAA